AAACCAACAGGGAUUGCCUCAGUAACGGCGAGUGAAGCGGCAACAGCUCAGAUUUGGAAUCUGGUCCUUUGGGGCCCGAGUUGUAAUCUGGAGAGGAUGCUUCUGGCGCGGCGCCGUCCGAGUUCCCUGGAACGGGACGCCGGAGAGGGUGAGAGCCCCGUACGGUCGGACGCCUAGCCUGUGUGAAGCUCCUUCGACGAGUCGAGUAGUUUGGGAAUGCUGCUCAAAAUGGGAGGUAAAUUUCUUCUAAAGCUAAAUACCGGCCAGAGACCGAUAGCGCACAAGUAGAGUGAUCGAAAGAUGAAAAGCACUUUGAAAAGAGGGUCAAACAGUACGUGAAAUUGUUGAAAGGGAAGCGCCUGUGGCCAGACUUGUGCCCGGCAGACCAUCCGGCGCCCCCGCGCCGGUGCACUCUGCCGGGCGCAGGCCAGCAUCGGUUUUCCCAGGGGGAUAAAGGCGGCGGGAACGUGGCUCCCUCGGGAGCGUUAUAGCCCGCCGUGUCAUGCCUCUGGGGGGACCGAGGACCGCGCAUUUAUGCAAGGAUGCUGGCGUAAUGGCCACCGGCGAC
rnacentral:rRNA from 2 species